UAAAUGAAAUUCACUUCAAUAUAAAACAGUUAAAAACAUACUAUCUAUAGUACUGCUUCUGUCUUCAAAGAGCUUUUAAACAGUCACACCACGACAACUGUUGCUAAUAACCCACCUGCCCUUCUCCAUCCUGGUUGUCUUGUAUCAUCAAUCAAGCAAUAGCCAGUCUCCCCUCACUGCAUAAAGUGGAUUAAACAAUACACACGAAUUCAAAGGAAGUGGACUUCACCUCUUGUUCUCCUCUUUCUCCAGCAGCAGACUGCUUGACAAACACUGUGUCAGGCGCUCCUCGGCAGAAGCUCCUCGCAUCAGAUCCUCUGUGCUGGGAAUCCUUCCCUCUCGACCACGCUCUGUGCUCCUCUUCCAGUUACCGUCCAUGUGAAGCAAUGGUAUGGGAAAAUUGUUUGCAGAAGCGUGAAAAGUCUUUAUUCCCAAACUAAACUGUACCAGAAAGUCUUGUGAGGUGCUGAUCGCACUGCACCAUGGUCUAACUACCUGAUGUAACAGGAAGCCGGGGGGGUGUCCAGUCUCUCAGCUUGUGGUUGACACACAAGGCGAUGAGAUCAUCCCAUGGGAUCUCCAUGAUGGAGGGGCCUGCCCCAUGGACUGCGGAGGGGCUCUUGCUCUUCCACCUACGAAAUCAUCUGAUCCCCUUUGCCGCUGAGAGAGUUGAAAAGCGAAAGCGUCUGAAUCCCACCAGCAUCGCUGCACAUGUCAUCCACCGAGCCAUCAUCUCCCAUGAACUUUACUUUCAACCAAUUUGCCAGAAUUCUAUAGAUUUAAAAAAAAACACUUGAAGAAUCCAAUUCUAAAUUUGAAUUAUAACGACUUCCAGGAAAAGAAGAAAGAGAAAUAUCACACAGAUCUAGGUCCAAAGUUACCAAAUCUCACUAUGAAGUUGACCUGCACAAAACAGGCUGUCAUUUUAAAAUGGAGCAAUGAUCUUUACUUGUUCUUCCCCUCCCCCCAGAUAGGGUCUCACCGUCACCCAGGGUACAGUGCAGUGAUACAAACUCGGCUCACUGUAGCAAGCAAACCUCCUGCCUCAGCCUCCUCAGUAGCCGGGACUACAGGUACGGACCACCAUCCUCUGCUAAGUUUUGUUAGCACAACAUAGAUGUUGCUCACGCUGGCUUCAAACUCCUGGGCUCAAGCAAUCCUUCCACAGCCUCCCCAGUUGCUGAGAUUACAGCUGUGAGCCACUACACCUGGCUUCUACUUGUUUUUAAUUGAGCAGGAGGGAGCACUCAUAGAACUGGCUCAUUCUAAUGUGACUUAAGAUUCUGAGGCAUUAAGAUUUUCAGCAAGAGAAAACAUCCCUAGAGUUUGAAAUACAUAUUUUUUUAUAGAUCGAAUUUCUCAUAUCUGAGACCUUAAGAAUUCC